UACGGGGGGGGUAAGCGUUGUUCGGAAUUACUGGGCGUAAAGGGCUCGUAGGCGGCCAACUAAGUCAGACGUGAAAUCCCUCAGCUUAACUGGGGAACUGCGUCUGAUACUGGAUGGCUUGGAUUCGGGAGAGGGAUGCGGAAUUCCAGGUGUAGCGGUGAAAUGCGUAGAUAUCUGGAGGAACACCGGUGGCGAAGGCGGCAUCCUGGACCGAUAUUGACGCUGAGGAGCGAAAGCCAGGGGAGCAAACAGG
rnacentral:rRNA from 1 species